rnacentral:lncRNA from 1 species
UACCAGGGAUCUCCAUGGAUGAAAAUUGAACCAUGGAGGAACUUUCACCAUUACAAACCUUGUCUACGCUGUACAGUGUAGCGCAAUCGGAAGUAUUUUAUCCCUCCAUACAAGGAAUGGUGAACAUGCUAAUUCAUUGCUUAUUUAAAUUAUAUUUAUUUGAAUUUUCAUUAUAGAAUUAGAAGUAUCAAUAUUUUCAUUUAUUGCCGUUUUUAACCAUUCAAAUGCCAAGUCUUCAUGGUCCCCCCUUAGUCGAGAAUGACCAAAAGCUGUCAUGAAGGUCCCCAUGCAGAUUUCUUUUAUUUUUGGUAAUUGUUAUGGGGGUUAAAAAUCAUCUGAUGUGGAGCUUAUUUUUCGUGGACACUGUCAAAUUCAGAGCCCAUUACCGGUAUGGCUGAUUUGCAGCAACAACAAAACAAUUCGUACGGGUUAUGUAAAAGGUUAAAAGAGAUUUGUAAAGCAAACGUUGACAAAUGAAAAGGUUUUUAAUGACUUUAUCUGGAAAAAUUGAUGCUGUGCAACAUGCAUCUUUCGAGUCUGAAUAGAAACCGGAAACGCGGAUGUAUCAAUUUGAUUGUAAUAUACGAAAUGAAUUCGGAAUUUAGAUACGAUAUUUCUUUACAGGAAAUAUUUUAAGUUUUUACUUUUAAACUUUUAAAGUAAUUCUAAAUUAUCGUUACAGCAGUACUCGAGUUAUUUGCGAUGAAAUAAUAUUUACUGUUUUGCGUCUUAUUUUGUACUUCUUAAAAAAGGGGGAUGCUGAUUGCGUAAGUCAAAAUAAAGCACGUGUUCGACUUGUUAAACUGUUUUCUUUGUAACUGGAUUAAUUUAUUAAUUUAUUUAUUUAAUCUAAAUGAUCAUAAUCAUUUGCUGAAACUUAGUUGAUUACUUCGACAAAUGGAUCGUCUAUCCUCAGAUAGUAUUCUCCUGUCUGGUUUGUUGAUCUACCUGUACAAGCUCAGGUACAAGUAAUUAGCGAUCUUAAUCCGGAUAUCCCUCAGGCGUUAGAACUGUAUUGGAUUAUAACAUAAAAAGCCUAAGGGUUAUGCAAUUACAUGCAUUUGAAUAAUUGAUAAAAAAAUGGCGUCGGGCUACAAAAACGAUGAAGUUUU